rnacentral:tRNA from 1 species
GCCCAGGUGGCGGAAAUGGUAGACGCGCAUGGUUGAGGGCCAUGUGACUUAAUUGUCGUGCAAGUUCGAUUCUUGUUCUGGGCA